GCAUCAAUGAUUCAGUGGUAGCACGCUCGCCUGCUAUGCGCGCGGUCCGGUUUCGAUUCCGCACCUAUGCA